AGCGAACGCUGGCGGCAGGCCUAACACAUGCAAGUCGAACGAACCUUUCGGGGUUAGUGGCGGACGGGUGAGUAACACGUGGGAACGUGCCUUUAGGUUCGGAAUAACUCAGGGAAACUUGUGCUAAUACCGAAUGUGCCCUUCGGGGGAAAGAUUUAUCGCCUUUAGAGCGGCCCGCGUCUGAUUAGCUAGUUGGUUGAGGUAAUGGCUCACCAAGGCGACGAUCAGUAGCUGGUCUGAGAGGAUGAUCAGCCACAUCGGGACUGAGACACGGCCCAAACUCCUACGGGAGGCAGCAGUGGGGAAUCUUGCGCAAUGGGCGAAAGCCUGACGCAGCCAUGCCGCGUGAAUGAUGAAGGUCUUAGGAUUGUAAAAUUCUUUCACCGGGGACGAUAAUGACGGUACCCGGAGAAGAAGCCCCGGCUAACUUCGUG
rnacentral:rRNA from 1 species